AAGCGGGAAAAGCUCAGACUGAAAAUCUGCGCACUGCGGCGCCGAAUUGUAGUCUGAUAAGUAUGGUCAGCCGAUUGAUGGGUAAAGUCUCUGGAAAGGAGCGCAUGAGAAGGUGAGAGCCCCGUUCAUACCUGGAUUGUUAGAAGCUUAGGACCUGCCGUCGACGAGUCGAGUUGUUUGGGAUUGCAGCUCUAAAUGGGUGGUAAAUUCCAUCUAAAGCUAAAUACUGGUGGGAGACCGAUAGCGUACAAGUACCGUGAGGGAAAGAUGCAAAGAACUUUGAAAAGAGAGUUAAAGAGUACCUGAAAUUGCUGAAAUGGAAGCGAUGGGAGGCAGUGUCAUCCUUGGUAUUUUUCAUGGCUCUGUUUCAAGUAGGGCGUUCUGCAGUUUACGUUGUCAGGGUUGGUUUGGAAAGGCGGAAGAACUACGUAGAAUGUACGUCAAGCCUUUUGUGAUAGCCUUUGUUCGUCGCGCUGGCCUAGGAAGGAGACUGUCACGUUUGUGCUCGUGAUGCGUACGAAAUGGUCCUAAGCCGCCCGUCUUGAAACACGGACCAAGGAGUUUAACAUAUGUGCGAGUGCUCGGGUGUAAAACCCCCAUGCGAAAUGAACGUAACGGUGAAAUUUAUUCACUUGGGUGCACUAUCGACCGACCCUGAUCCUUCGGGAGGACGGUCUGAGUGUGAGCAUACAUGUUGGGACCCGAAAGAUGGUGAACUAUGCCUGAAUAGGGUGAAGCCAGGGGAAACUCU
rnacentral:rRNA from 1 species